CAGGAAAUAGUUUAAUAUAAAAUAUUAAUUUUGGAGAUUAAAGAUCAGAGAUUUCUUUUUCCUGA
rnacentral:tRNA from 1 species